GGCGGUUUAGCUCAGGUGGUAGAGCAGCCGGUUCAUACCCGGUAUGUCCCUGGUUCGAGUCCAGGAACCGCCA
rnacentral:tRNA from 2 species